AAGAUGGAGCUAGGGUUGAUGGUGGCUAUUGAUUUCUUCUUCAAUUUCAUUUGGUUCUUGAUGAUUAAGGUAUGGGGAUCCUUUAUCCUUGAUUUAUUCUUCCUUUUCAAGGAGCUCAAUUCAAAUGAUUCAAAGUUCUUCCAAAAAUAUAAAAAUCCUAAUUUCGAUUCUAAGCAUGGGUUCUUGCAUUAAAUGAUUUUUUUUUGAUGAUUUAUGUUAUUAAUGGUGUCUAUUGAUGGUUUUAAGAAAGAAGUUCCAUGAACCCAUGUCUUGGCAAGUUUCCUAAAGUUGGCUUAUGAAGUGGGUUUAUUAUUUAUGAUUGAAUGAUGAUGGAAGUAUGCUUGGAUUGAGUUGAAUAGUUGACUUCUAUAAGUAUCUAUGCUUAUCUAUUGUGAAUUGUUGGAGAGUUGAGGAAUGGUGAUUGUGGCUUGGGAAAAAGGGUAAGUGGACCUAACUUCAUUGUUAAGGUAGAAUUGAUAUAGAAUUGUGAUAGAUUGAUGUGUGAUCCACUUAUGGUGGAGGCGUUUACUUAUUAAAUGUAUUGUGUUUAUGGCCUUGGAGGCAUUAUAUGAGGAAUUGAAGUGUUGACAUGAUAUCAUAUAUGUGAAUGUGAUGUGAAGGACUUGAAUGAGAAUCAAAUGAAGUAAAGGCAAUCAUGUUGUGAAUAUAAAGGUGUUCAUGUGAUCUCAAGGUGAUCUUAUUUAAAGUGUUAUUGUAUUGUGAUUGAAAGUGUGUCCUCUAUUAUUGUUCAUAUGUGAUGAUGAUGGAAUGUGAAGGAUCUUUAUAAUGUGAUGUGUGUCUUGACUUGGUAGACUUAGGUGCCUCUUCUUGAUACAUUAGAAGCUUUGUUGAAUAUGAAUCGAUAGGAUAUGGCAUUCCUUUCGGAUGUAAGUGACGAAACCUGUUUUUGAGCUGGAUAGUGUUUGGUAUUUUAGGCCUAUCUCUAACAUAGUUUGCAGUGAAUAAAUAUUAUUUGGAAAGCUAACUCGUAUACCUACAACUUUUAUGUUUAUGUAAAACUCUAAUUUAACUGUUAUAGAUACGAAAUAUGGGACUCAACAUAGGGAAUGUUCUGCCCAGAUUCCGGGAAUUGAAAUCUUGCAUGACCAGUGGCUAGUGUCUUGACUAUGUCUUUUUGUACAAAAUAUACGGGGGGUAGUAGGCCCGUAUAACCAUAUCGAGGGGUUGGUACCUUGGUUGCCUAGUACGGGGGGUAGUAGGCCCGUAUAACCAUAUCGAGGGGUUGGUACCUUGGUUGCCUAGUACGGGGGGUAGUAGGCCCGUAUAACCAUAUCGAGGGGUUGGUACCUUGGUUGCCUAGUACGGGGGGUAGUAGGCCCGUAUAACCAUAUCGAGGGGUUGGUACCUUGGUUGCCUAGUACGGGGGGUAGUAGGCCCGUAUAACCAUAUCGAGGGGUUGGUACCUUGGUUGCCUAGUACGGGGGGUAGUAGGCCCGUAUAACCAUAUCGAGGGGUUGGUACCUUGGUUGCCUAGUACGGGGGGUAGUAGGCCCGUAUAACCAUAUCGAGGGGUUGGUACCUUGGUUGCCUAGUACGGGGGGUAGUAGGCCCGUAUAACCAUAUCGAGGGGUUGGUACCUUGGUUGCCUAGUACGGGGGGUAGUAGGCCCGUAUAACCAUAUCGAGGGGUUGGUACCUUGGUUGCCUAGUACGGGGGGUAGUAGGCCCGUAUAACCAUAUCGAGGGGUUGGUACCUUGGUUGCCUAGUACGGGGGGUAGUAGGCCCGUAUAACCAUAUCGAGGGGUUGGUACCUUGGUUGCCUAGUACGGGGGGUAGUAGGCCCGUAUAACCAUAUCGAGGGGUUGGUACCUUGGUUGCCUAGUACGGGGGGUAGUAGGCCCGUAUAACCAUAUCGAGGGGUUGGUACCUUGGUUGCCUAGUACGGGGGGUAGUAGGCCCAUAUAACCAUAUCGAGGGGUUGGUACCUUGGGAACUAGCUCGGGGGGUGGUAGGCCCGGGUAACCACAUUGAGGGGUUUGUACCUCUUUCGCCUCUCCAAGGGGGUGGUAGGCCUUGGAAAUACUAUAUUGAUGAUCACUCACUACACAUAUACUAUGCCCUACUAAAUAUGAUUUUUAUAUAAGCAUCAUUAGACAUAUCAUCUCAUUAAUAUGCUAUCUAUCGGGUACGAUUAUGCAUUUUGCCUAUGAUGUCCAUCCCUUGUUGCAUUGCAUUGCAUCCCAAAAAAAAGCUUACUUGUAUUUUUUUCAUGAUGUUUUACCAAAUGGCAUAAAAGCAUGUUUCUCCAAUAAACGUCCCUUUUAGCAUGUUUUUGCAUGGCUUCCAUACUUAGUACUUAAUUGUGCUAACCCCUUCCUUUCCCUUUUUGACUAAAGUGUAGGGAUUUGGAGAUGAUGACAUGUCAUGGCUUUGAUAGGUUUCUAAGUGUUGAAGAUGAAGACUUGGUGAGUCCUCAUAGAUUCGAGGACAAUACCCAAUAUGUUCUUUUAUGUCUUUUUAGUAUUGUUUAAGUUGUGUACGGGAUUAGUCCCGAAUUUUGUACUCUAAAGUAUUAGAUGGUUUGAGACAUCAUGUAUAAAGUCUAGAAAGUCUUCCGCUUGCUAUUUUUUAAUUAAAUGUUUUCUUGGUAAAGAAAGUUUUAAAUUCAUUAUGUUUUUAGUGUUAUGCGAUGAAUGAAUGCUAAGAGGCU
rnacentral:lncRNA from 1 species